rnacentral:rRNA from 1 species
CCUACGGGUGGCAGCAGUGAGGAAUAUUGGUCAAUGGACGAGAGUCUGAACCAGCCAAGCAGCGUGAAGGAUGACUGCUCUAUGGGUUGUAAACUUCUUUUAUAAAGGAAUAAAACGAGGCACGUGUGCCUUUAUGCAUGUACUUUAUGAAUACGGAUCGGCUAACUCCGUGCCAGCAGCCGCGGUAAUACGGAGGAUCCGAGCGUUAUCCGGAUUUAUUGGGUUUAAAGGGAGCGUAGAUGGGUUGUUAAGUCAGUUGUGAAAGUUUACGGCUCAACCGUAAAAUUGCAAUUGAUACUGGCAGUCUUGAGUACAGUUGAGGUAGGUGGAAUUCGUGGUGUAGCGGUGAAAUGCUUAGAUAUCACGAAGAACCCCGAUUGCGAAGGCAGCUUACUAGACUGUAACUGACGUUGAUGCUCGAAAGUGUGGGUAGCAAACAGGAUUAGAUACCCGGGUAGUC